UACGUAGGUGGCAAGCGUUGUCCGGAAUUAUUGGGCGUAAAGCGCGCGCAGGCGGUCUCUUAAGUCUGAUGUGAAAGCCCACGGCUCAACCGUGGAGGGUCAUUGGAAACUGGGGGACUUGAGUACAGAAGAGGAAAGCGGAAUUCCACGUGUAGCGGUGAAAUGCGUAGAGAUGAUGGAGGAACACCAGUGGCGAAGGCGGCUUUCUGGUCUGUAACUGACGCUGAGGCGCGAAGGCGUGGGGAGCAAACAGG
rnacentral:rRNA from 1 species